rnacentral:rRNA from 1 species
GAUGAACGCUGGCGGCGUGCCUAAUACAUGCAAGUCGAGCGAAUGGAUUAAGAGCUUGCUCUUAUGAAGUUAGCGGCGGACGGGUGAGUAACACGUGGGUAACCUGCCAUACGACUGGGAUAACUCCGGGAAACCGGGGCUAAUACCGGAUAAUAUUUUGAACUGCAUGGUUCAAAAUUGAAAGGCGGCUUCGGCUGUCACUUAUGGAUGGAACAGCGUCGCAUUAGCUAGUUGGUGAGGUAACGGCUCACCAAGGCAACGAGGCGUAGCCGACCUGAGAGGGUGAUCGGCCACACUGGGACUGAGACACGGCCCAGACUCCUACGGGAGGCAGCAGUAGGGAAUCUUCCGCAAUGGACAAAAGUCUGACGGAGCAACGCCGCGUGAGUGAUGAAGGCUUUCGGGUCGUAAAACUCUGUUGUUAGGGAAGGACAAGUGCUAGUUGAAUAAGCUGGCACCUUGACGGUACCUAACCAGAAAGCCACGGCUAACUACGUGCCAGCCGCCGCGGUAA